rnacentral:rRNA from 1 species
GAUGAACGCUGGCGGCGUGCCUAAUACAUGCAAGUCGAGCGAACGGACGAGAAGCUUGCUUCUCUGGUGUUAGCGGCGGACGGGUGAGUAACACGUGGAUAACCUACCUAUAAGACUGGGAUAACUUCGGGAUACCGGAGCUAAUACCGGAUAAUAUUUUGAACCGCAUGGUUCAAAAGUGAAAGACGGUCUUGCUGUCACUUAUAGAUGGAUCCGCGCUGCAUUAGCUAGUUGGUAAGGUAACGGCUUACCAAGGCAACGAUGCAUAGCCGACCUGAGAGGGUGAUCGGCCACACUGGAACUGAGACACGGUCCAGACUCCUACGGGAGGCAGCAGUAGGGAAUCUUCCGCAAUGGGCGAAAGCCUAACGGAGCAACGCCGCGUGAGUGAUGAAGGUCUUCGGAUCGUAAAACUCUGUUAUUAGGGAAGAACAUAUGUGUAAGUAACUGUGCACAUCUUGACGGUACCUAAUCAGAAAGCCACGGCUAACUACGUG